UAGAAUCAGGCUCAGCCAAUCAGGUUCCUUCUUCAUGGGGAUCUGGUGAUGCAAUGGCUGCAAGAACAAAAUCCUUGGCAGUGUAUGCAACCUGUUGUGUGCCUGGGUCCCCCUUAGAGACCUUCAAAACAGUU